AAGAAAUUAGGUUUAACCUUUAAGCCGAGGGCCU
rnacentral:tRNA from 1 species